GAUGAACGCUGGCGGCGUGCCUAAUACAUGCAAGUCUAGCGAACGGACGAGAAGCUUGCUUUUCUGAUGUUAGCGGCGGACGGGUGAGUAACACGUGGAUAACCUACCUAUAAGACUGGGAUAACUUCGGGAAACCGGAGCUAAUACCGGAUAAUAUUUUGAACCGCAUGGUUCAAAAGUGAAAGACGGUCUUGCUGUCACUUAUAGAUGGAUCCGCGCUGCAUUAGCUAGUUGGUAAGGUAACGGCUUACCAAGGCAACGAUGCAUAGCCGACCUGAGAGGGUGAUCGGCCACACUGGAACUGAGACACGGUCCAGACUCCUACGGGAGGCAGCAGUAGGGAAUCUUCCGCAAUGGGCGAAAGCCUGACGGAGCAACGCCGCGUGAGUGAUGAAGGUCUUCGGAUCGUAAAACUCUGUUAUUAGGGAAGAACAUAUGUGUAAGUAACUGUGCACAUCUUGACGGUACCUAAUCAGAAAGCCACGGCUAACUACGUG
rnacentral:rRNA from 1 species